rnacentral:miRNA from 1 species
AGUGGGAUAGCUGGGUCAAAUGGUGGUUCCAAGGAAUCUCCAUACUGUUUUCCAUAUUGACUGCACCACUUUGCAGUCCCACCAGCAAU